rnacentral:tmRNA from 1 species
GCCGGUCUUCGGAUCGGCUAUGGCAAUAAACGGUCGGUGUAAUAAACCUAUUGGACCCGGGGGCGGUACCCGGCGCCUCCACCAGGAACCGGCGGCCCCUCUUUCGGGAAGGCCGGCUGCUGAUGGGGGCGAAACAGGAUCGACAAGGGC